UACGAAGGGGGCUAGCGUUGCUCGGAAUCACUGGGCGUAAAGGGUGCGUAGGCGGGUCUUUAAGUCCGGGGUGAAAUCCUGGAGCUCAACUCCAGAACUGCCUUUGAUACUGAGGAUCUUGAGUCCGGGAGAGGUGAGUGGAACUGCGAGUGUAGAGGUGAAAUUCGUAGAUAUUCGCAAGAACACCAGUGGCGAAGGCGGCUUCCUGGACAGUGACUGACGCUGAGACGCGAAAGCGUGGGGAGCAAACAGG
rnacentral:rRNA from 1 species